CUACGGGAGGCAGCAGUAAGGAAUAUUGGUCAAUGGACGAAAGUCUGAACCAGCCAUGCCGCGUGAAGGAUGAAGGCCCUCUGGGUUGUAAACUUCUUUUACAGGGGACGAAAAAAGGGAAUUCUUUCUCACUUGACGGUACCCUGGGAAUAAGCACCGGCUAACUCCGUGCCAGCAGCCGCGGUAAUACGGAGGGUGCAAGCGUUAUCCGGAUUCACUGGGUUUAAAGGGUGCGUAGGUGGGUCUGUAAGUCAGCGGUGAAAUCUCCGGGCUUAACCCGGAAACUGCCAUUGAUACUAUAGAUCUUGAAUUGUCUGGAGGUAAGCGGAAUAUGUCAUGUAGCGGUGAAAUGCUUAGAUAUGACAUAGAACACCAAUUGCGAAGGCAGCUUACUACGGAUUGAUUGACACUGAGGCACGAAAGCGUGGGGAUCAAACAGGAUUAGAUACCCUGGUAGUCCACGCCCUAAACGAUGGAUACUCGACAUUUGUGAUAUACUAUAAGUGUCUGAGCGAAAGCAUUAAGUAUCCACCUGGAAGUACGACCGCAAGGUUGAACUCAAAUGAAUUGACGGCUGAGAGNGCGAGACGACGACGAGGGAGGAGG
rnacentral:rRNA from 1 species